rnacentral:rRNA from 1 species
CCUACGGGGCGCAGCAGUGAGGAAUAUUGGUCAAUGGGCGCAAGCCUGAACCAGCCAAGUCGCGUGAGGGAAGACGGCCCUACGGGUUGUAAACCUCUUUUGCCGGGGAGCAAGCCUGAGCACGUGUGCCCAGGCGGAGAGUACCCGGAGAAAAAGCAUCGGCUAACUCCGUGCCAGCAGCCGCGGUAAUACGGAGGAUGCGAGCGUUAUCCGGAUUGAUUGGGUUUAAAGGGUGCGCAGGCGGGCUGUUAAGCCGGCGGUAAAAAUUCAGGGCUCAACCCUGUCGAGCCGUCGGAAAUGGCAGCCUUGAGUGGGCGAGAAGUAUGCGGAAUGCGGGGUGUAGCGGUGAAAUGCAUAGAUAUCACGCAGAACGCCGAUUGCGAAGGCAGCAUACCGGCGCCCGACUGACGCUGAGGCACGAAAGCGUGGGGAUCGAACAGGAUUAGAUACCCGGGUAGUC